GCAAGUCGAGGGGUAACAUUUCAGCUUGCUUUUGCUGACGACCGGCGCACGGGUGCGUAACGCGUAUGCGACCUACCUAUAACUGAGGGAUAGCCUAGAGAAAUUUGGAUUAAUACCUCAUAGUACUAUAAAGUCACAUGAUUUAAUAGUUAAAGAUUUAUCGGUUAUAGAUGGGCAUGCGUAUGAUUAGCUAGUUGGUAGUGUAAUGGACUACCAAGGCGACGAUCAUUAGGGGUUCUGAGAGGAAGAUC
rnacentral:rRNA from 1 species